rnacentral:misc_RNA from 1 species
GAUGAAGAACGUAGCGAAACGCGAUAAGUAAUGUGAAUUGCAGAAUCCAGUGAAUCAUCGAAUCUUUGAACGCACAUUGCGCCCGCCAGCAUUCUGGCGUGCAUGCCUGUUCGAGCGUCAUUUCAACCCUCGACCUCCCCUUGGGGAGGUCGGCGUUGGGGACCGGCAGCACACCGCCGGCCCUGAAAUGGAGUGGCGGCCCGUCCGCGGCGACCUCUGCGCAGUAAUACAGCUCGCACCGGGACCCCGACGCGGCCACGCCGUAAAACACCCAACUUCUGAACGUUGACCUCGAAUCAGGUAGGACUACCCGCUGAACUUAAGCAUAUCAAUAAGCGGAGGA